ACCACAACACCAAAUGGAGCAUUGAACAGAAAAGUAGCAUUCUCCAGGGCCGACUAUUUGAAAUAACAGGUUACAAGUCUCUAUCAUGCCAUCAGCCUUCAAAUUGAAGAUCACCUUUUGGAAGAGACUAUGGAUUAAAAGUUUCACUGUGUUGCCCAGGCUGGCCUUGAAUUCCUGGAUUCAAGUGACCCUAUCACUUCAGUCCCAAGUAGCGAGGACUACAGGCAUCCACCACUGUGCCCAGCUAACUUCACUUAUUUCAGACUUUUAUUUUUUAAUGAAAUACUAAAAAUACCACAGAAACCCCCCAAAUCUGUUCCCCUCCUUCUCUCAGAGAUAACCACUGGCUUGGAUUUAGUGCUACAUCAUCCCUAUGUUUGUCUUUACAGUCCCAGCACCUAACAGAGGAGUACCUGCAAGAACUUAUGUUUUUAAACCUAGGAAGAAAGGGAAGACAGGAGACAGCAAUUCCACACAUCAUUCUGCCAAGGGCUAGGGAUUGAAGCCAGGGCUCUACACCAAGCUACACCCCCAGGCCUUUGUUACGAACGCCAUUGGCUCCACAAUCAUCUUCAUUAGUCAACGGGAAGUGAUUUUUUUAUUUUGGGGGUUGGAGGUGCUGAGAGUGAAACUCAAGGCCUCAU